AGUUUUAUGAUAUUAUAUAAAAUUAAUUCUGCCCGGUGAUUAGUUAAACGGCCGCAGUACUUUGACUGUGCUAAGGUAGCAUAAUAAAUUGGCUUUUAAUUGGAGUCUUGAAUGAAAGGUAAAAUGGAUAAAAAUUGUCUCUUAUUUAAUAUAUUAAAAUUACUUAAAAGGUGAAAAUUCCUUUAAUAUAAAAUUAGACGAGAAGACCCUAGGAGUUUAUAUAUUUAUUUUGUUGGGGCGACAUUACAGCAAUUAAAUAAACCUGUAAUUUUCUAUAUUAUCUAUAUAACGGUAUUUAAAAUUAUAAUUAAACUACCCUAGGGAUAACAGCAUAAUUUAAUUUUAAAAGUUUGUGACCUCGAUGUUGGACUAGGAAAAUUUAAUACUAACAGUAUUAAUUAAAGGUUCUGUUCGAACUUAUUAUUCCU
rnacentral:rRNA from 1 species